rnacentral:rRNA from 1 species
AAAACUUUUAACAACGGAUCUCUUGGUUCUGGCAUCGAUGAAGAACGCAGCGAAAUGCGAUAAGUAAUGUGAAUUGCAGAAUUCAGUGAAUCAUCGAAUCUUUGAACGCACAUUGCGCCCGCCAGCAUUCUGGCGGGCAUGCCUGUUCGAGCGUCAUUUCAACCCUCAA